UGGACAGUGACUCAGCUGCGUCUAUCAGCCUGAACAUGGAGCUGGACAACAUGAACUUCCAUAUCAAGAAGCCCUCCAAGUACCCAUAUGUGGCCACUCACCCUGCUGACCAAAAAGAUGGGCAACACCUACCAAGAUCCUAAGUUCCUGUAUUCUUCCCGAAUUUUGGCCACUCUCUGAAGGGGUUCCUGGUUUUGUGUCCAAGAUGUGUACCACCAUCAAGCUCUGUGACAUGGCCAUGGACUGGAUUGCUGAA
rnacentral:lncRNA from 1 species